rnacentral:lncRNA from 1 species
AUUAGCAGAACACCCAGUCAUAAUCAUAAUUGUCAUUGAUAUUUUGCUGACUUUCAGUCCCAUUAAAAACCAUAGAUUUACACUUUUUCUUUUUCUUUUUUUUUUUUUGAGAUGGAGUGUCACUGUCACCCAGGCUGGAGUGCAGUGGCACCAUCUCUGCUCACUGCAAGCUCCGCCUCCCGGGUUCAUGCCAUUCUCCUGCCUCAGCCUCCCAAGUAGCUGUGACUACAGGCGCCCGCCACAACACCCGGCUAAUUUUUUGUAUUUUUAGUAGAGACGGGGUUUCAUUGUAUUAGCCAGGAUGGUCUCGAUCUCCUGACCUCAUGAUCCGCCCGCCUUGGCCUCCCAAAGUGCUGGGAUUAUAGGCGUGACCCACUGCACCCGGCCUGAUUUACACAUUUUUUAAAAAAGAAACAAAAUUUACUCUUUCUUUGGCUAAUUAAUUUUUCCUAGAUAAAAGUACAGGUUUAAAAAUGUUUCAGCGGGGUCAGGGGGCUCACACCUGUAAUCCCAGCACUUUGAGAGGUCAAGGCUGGAGGAUCACUUGAGCCCAGAGUUCGAGACCAGCCUGGGCAACAUGGCAACAUUCUGUUGCUACAAAAAAUUUAAAAAUUAGUGGGGCAUGGUGGUGUGUGCCUGUGGUCCUAGCUACUCCAGAGGCUGAAGUUGGAGAAUCAUUUGAGUCCAGCCAGGAGUUCGAGGCUGCAGUGAGCUUUCAUUGAGCCACUAUGCUACAACGUGGGAGACAGUGAGGCCUUGUCUCAAAACAAACAAACAAAAAUGUUUCAGCUGGGCAUGGUGACUCAUGCCUUAAUCCCAGUGCUUUGGGAGGCUGAGAUCGGAGAAUUGUUUGAGGCCAGGAGUUUCAGACCAGCGAGGACAAUGUAGUGAGACUCUGUCUCUUUUUUUUUUUUUUUUUUGAGGUGGAUUCUCGCUCUGUCACCCAGGCUAGAGUGCAGUGGCACCAUCUCUGCUCACUGCAAGCUCCGCCUCCCAGGUUCACACCAUUCUCCUGCCUCAGCCUCACAAGUAGCUGGGACUACAGGUGCCCGCCACCACGCCCAGCUAAUUUUUUGUAUUUUUAGUAGAGACGGGGUUUCACCGUAUUAGCCAGGAUGAUCUCAAUCUCCUGACCUCAUGAUCCGCCCACCUCGGCCUCCCAAAGUGCUGGGAUUACAGGCGUGAGCCACUGUGCCUGGCCCAAGACUCUGUCUCUUAAAACAAAAAAUUGGUGAGGUUUGGUGGCAUGGGCCUGUAGUCCUAGCUACUCAGAAGGCUGAGGUGGUAGGAUUCCCUGAGUCCAGGAGUUCAAGAUUGCAGUGAGCCAGGAUCGUGCCACUGCACUCCAGCCUGGCAACAGAGCAAGACCCUGUAUCAGAAAACGUUUCAAAUUUUUCCACUGGAUUAAUAUCUAUAAAGAAGAUUCAACUGUAAAGUAGAUGGCUCUAUACACUCUCAUGUAAAGCAAAAAUCAAUUACAAAAAAAUUGUAAAUAACAUAUUUUUAAAAUAUGAUUGACAAAUAUUAGACACAUUUAUUGUGUACAACAUGUUGUGAAAUAUAUAAACUGUGGUAUGGCUAAAUAGAACUAAUUAAUAUAUGCAUUACCUCACAUACUUAUUUUUUUUUCUGAUGAGAACACUUAAAAUCUAUUAAGUGUUAAGAUUUUAACACUUAAAAUCUUUCUUAGCAAUUUUCAAGAAUAUAUUCUACAUUGUUAUUAACUAUGGCCAUCAUAUUGUACAAUGGAUCUCUUGAACUUAUUCCCCCUAGCUGAAAUUUUGUAUUAAGAUGUUCUUUGAUCAUAAUCAUGAAAGUUGCUGGUUUCAAUACAUAACCAGCUAAUUAGGGCAGUAAGUAGGCACCUCAAAAUCAUACUAUGUAGUUAAUAUCUUAAAAUCUUUUCACAUAUUUGUGUUAAAUCAUCAAAUAAAUCAUCAGUGACAGAACAAAAAAUUGCUGAUUUUUUUUUAAACUUAUAAACAACAGAAAUUUAUUUCUCACAGUUCCAGGAGGCUGGAAGUCCGAGAUCAAGGUGCCUGCAUGGUUCAGUUCUGGUGAAGGCCUCUUCCGGGCUGCAGACUGCUGACUCCUCCUUGUGUCCUCACAUGGUGGAGAGCAGACAGAGCUGCUGAUUUAUUUUCUAUUUGUAAUGUAUGGUUGACAUAUUUGAUGAAACUGAGUUCACUUUCUUUUUUUUUUUU